rnacentral:rRNA from 1 species
UACGAAGGGGGCUAGCGUUGCUCGGAAUGACUGGGCGUAAAGGGCGCGUAGGCGGACGGCUUUGUCGGGCGUGAAAUUCCAGGGCUUAACCUUGGGGCUGCGUUCGAGACGGGUUGUCUAGAGUUUGGAAGAGGGUCGUGGAAUUCCCAGUGUAGAGGUGAAAUUCGUAGAUAUUGGGAAGAGCACCGGUGGCGAAGGCGGCGACCUGGUCCUUGACUGACGCUGAGGCGCGAAAGCGUGGGGAGCAAACAGG